AUUGAACGCUAGCGGGAUGCCUUACACAUGCAAGUCGAACGGCAGCAUAAGAGAGCUUGCUCUCUUGAUGGCGAGUGGCGAACGGGUGAGUAAUGUAUCGGAACGUGCCCAGUAGCGGGGGAUAACUACGCGAAAGCGUAGCUAAUACCGCAUACGCCCUACGGGGGAAAGGAGGGGAUCCGCAAGGACCUUUCACUAUUGGAGCGGCCGAUAUCGGAUUAGCUAGUUGGUGAGGUAACGGCUCACCAAGGCGACGAUCCGUAGCUGGUUUGAGAGGACGACCAGCCACACUGGGACUGAGACACGGCCCAG
rnacentral:rRNA from 1 species